rnacentral:lncRNA from 1 species
GCCCGACUUGCCUUUAACUAGGACGCACCUCAGGAGGUUCCACGGCCUCCCUAGCUGGCGAAGAAGCCUCUAACGCUUGGCCUUUGGGGGACAGUCAAGAUCCAAGCUAUAGCACCAGGGCUACAGUCGGGAUGGAGUGAGCUGCUGUGGACCAAAUCCUACUCCAAGUCCCAUGGUUCAGCCUCCAGCAGCUCUGUCUCCUGGCACUUGCCAGGUGCAGGUUGAGUACAGGUCCAUCAGCAAGAGGGGCAUUUGAUGUCAAGCCUCCUGCAUAGCUACCUGAUGAGGGAGCCGGCGUCCUAUUCAAUUCCCUUCUCCACUACCAGGCUGAGAGACGCGUGCUUCUCCAGGGGUUCCCCAGGGACUAAGGGACAGGCAUGAUGAGGAGCCUCGCUCCCUCGCUCCCUCGCUCGGGGUCCAGCCCCUCCUGCUCUGCACCCUUCCCAAGCCUGCAACCCGGCCGCCACCAGAGGGCGCUGCAGCCCAGCCCGGGCCUCCGCCCCCCCCGCCCCCCACUCCCUGUACCCGUCAAUCUUCCGCCUGGGAUGGGUGUGCAGGCCUGAGCUCCAGGGACUGGGGUUCAGGCCUCCCCUACCCACAGGUACUGGUAAGUGACUUCUCUUCCACGUGUGACCUGUUGGGAGCAGGAUUUCUCGGUGUUAGCAGAAGACUGAUCAAUAUGCAGAUUCGCCAUCCUGGCCCAACUGGCUGUCCUGUCUGAUGCUCGCUGGACCUUGCCUUCUCAGAGAGCACCAUAUAGGCAAGGGCUUCUGAAAGCUAGAUCCUAGAACUCAGCCACAGACUCCUCCAUGGCCAGAACAAGGACAAACAGCUAUGAGAAGUGGUUUCCUCCUCUCCAUUUUACAGCCGAGGACACUGACCCUAAAAUAACUGAUAUGCCCUUAUGUUCCGGCCACUCUGAUUUUGAUCCAGAUAUGCCCAAAUGCUGAAUUGGGUUUCCUUCCUCUUCCUGGUCCUGCCUAGCUCUAGCUUGGGGCCAGCCUCUCUAAACUGCGUGCGC